rnacentral:rRNA from 1 species
GAUGAACGCUGGCGGCGUGCCUAAUACAUGCAAGUCGAGCGAACAGACGAGGAGCUUGCUCCUCUGACGUUAGCGGCGGACGGGUGAGUAACACGUGGAUAACCUACCUAUAAGACUGGGAUAACUUCGGGAAACCGGAGCUAAUACCGGAUAAUAUAUUGAACCGCAUGGUUCAAUAGUGAAAGACGGUUUUGCUGUCACUUAUAGAUGGAUCCGCGCCGCAUUAGCUAGUUGGUAAGGUAACGGCUUACCAAGGCAACGAUGCGUAGCCGACCUGAGAGGGUGAGCGGCCACACGGUAUCUGAGACACGGUACCGACGCCUACGGGAGGCAGCAGGAUGGAGUCUUCCUCAAUGGUCGAAAGCGUGACGGAGCAACGCCGCGUGAGUGAUGAAGGUCUUCGGAUCCUAAAACUCUGUUAUUAGGGAAGAACAAAUGUGUAAGUAACUAUGCACGUCUUGACGGGACCUAAUCAGAAAGCCACGGCUAACUACGUC